AGAACGACUCUCGGCAACGGAUAUCUCGGCUCUCGCAUCGAUGAAGAACGUAGCGAAAUGCGAUACUUGGUGUGAAUUGCAGAAUCCCGUGAACCAUCGAGUCUUUGAACGCAAGUUGCGCCCGAAGCCUUCGGGCCGAGGGCACGCCUGCCUGGGCGUCACGC
rnacentral:rRNA from 3 species